rnacentral:rRNA from 1 species
AGUGAACGCUGGCGGUAGGCCUAACACAUGCAAGUCGAACGGCAGCACAGUAAGAGCUUGCUCUUACGGGUGGCGAGUGGCGGACGGGUGAGGAAUACAUCGGAAUCUACUUUUUCGUGGGGGAUAACGUAGGGAAACUUACGCUAAUACCGCAUACGACCUACGGGUGGAAGCAGGGGAUCUUCGGACCUUGCGCGAUUGAAUGGGCCGAUGUCGGAUUAGCUAGUUGGCGGGGUAAAGGCCCACCAAGGCGACGAUCCGUAGCUGGUCUGAGAGGAUGAUCAGCCACACUGGAACUGAGACACGGUCCAGACUCCUACGGGAGGCAGCAGUGGGGAAUAUUGGACAAUGGGCGCAAGCCUGAUCCAGCCAUACCGCGUGGGUGAAGAAGGCCUUCGGGUUGUAAAGCCCUUUUGUUGGGAAAGAAAAGCAGCAGGUUAAUACCCCGCUGUUCUGACGGUACCCAAAGAAUAAGCACCGGCUAACUUCGUG